rnacentral:rRNA from 1 species
GAUGAACGCUGGCGGCGUGCCCAAUACAUGCAAGUCGAGCGAAUGGAUUAAGAGCUUGCUCUUAUGAAGUUAGCGGCGGACGGGUGAGUAACACGUGGGUAACCUGCCCAUAAGACUGGGAUAACUCCGGGAAACCGGGGCUAAUACCGGAUAACAUUUUGAACCGCAUGGUUCGAAAUUGAAAGGCGGCUUCGGCUGUCACUUAUGGAUGGACCCGCGUCGCAUUAGCUAGUUGGUGAGGUAACGGCUCACCAAGGCAACGAUGCGUCGCCGACCUGAGAGGGUGAUCGGCACCCUGGGACUGAGACACGGCCCAGACUCCUACGGGAGGCAGCAGUAGGGAAUCUUCCGCAAUGGACGAAAGUCUGACGGAGCAACGCCGCGUGAGUGAUGAAGGCUUUCGGGUCGUAAAACUCUGUUGUUAGGGAAGAACAAGUGCUAGUUGAAUAAGCUGGCACCUUGACGGUACCUAACCAGAAAGCCACGGCUAACUACGUGCCAGCCGCCGCGGUAA